GGGCCUGUAGCUCAGCGGUUAGAGCAGGGGACUCAUAAUCCCUUGGUCCAGGGUUCAAAUCCCUGCGGGCCCACUA
rnacentral:tRNA from 1 species